rnacentral:rRNA from 1 species
UCGGGGCCAACCUCCCACCCGUGUUGCCCGAACCUAUGUUGCCUCGGCGGGCCCCGCGCCCGCCGACGGCCCCCCUGAACGCUGUCUGAAGUUGCAGUCUGAGACCUAUAACGAAAUUAGUUAAAACUUUCAACAACGGAUCUCUUGGUUCCGGCAUCGAUGAAGAACGCAGCGAAAUGCGAUAACUAAUGUGAAUUGCAGAAUUCAGUGAAUCAUCGAGUCUUUGAACGCACAUUGCGCCCUCUGGUAUUCCGGAGGGCAUGCCUGUCCGAGCGUCAUUGCUGCCCUCAAGCCCGGCUUGUGUGUUGGGCCCCGUCCCCCCCGCCGGGGGGACGGGCCCGAAAGGCAGCGGCGGCACCGCGUCCGGUCCUCGAGCGUAUGGGGCUUCGUCACCCGCUCUAGUAGGCCCGGCCGGCGCCAGCCGACCCCCAACCUUUAAUUAUCUCAGGUUGACCUCGGAUCAGGUAGGGAUACCCGCUGAACUUAAGCAUAUCAAUAAGCGGAGGAUUACCGAGUGCGGGCCCCUCGGGGCCCAACCUCCCCCGUGUUGCCGAACUAUA